rnacentral:tRNA from 1 species
GUGGCUAUAGCUCAGUGGUAGAGUGCAUGCUUAGCAUGCACAAAAUUUGGGUUCAAUUCCUAGUACCUUCA